rnacentral:rRNA from 1 species
UUAAGUUAUUAAGGGCGCACGGUGGAUGCCUUGGCACUAGAAGCCGAUGAAGGACGUUACUAACGACGAUAUGCUUUGGGGAGCUGUAAGUAAGCUUUGAUCCAGAGAUUUCCGAAUGGGGAAACCCAGCAUGAGUUAUGUCAUGUUAUCGAUAUGUGAAUACAUAGCAUAUCAGAAGGCACACCCGGAGAACUGAAACAUCUUAGUACCCGGAGGAAGAAAAAGAAAAUUCGAUUCCCUUAGUAGCGGCGAGCGAAACGGGAAGAGCCCAAACCAACAAGCUUGCUUGUUGGGGUUGUAGGACACUCUAUACGGAGUUACAAAGGACGACAUUAGACGAAUCAUCUGGAAAGAUGAAUCAAAGAAGGUAAUAAUCCUGUAGUCGAAAAUGUUGUCUCUCUUGAGUGGAUCCUGAGUACGACGGAGCACGUGAAAUUCCGUCGGAAUCUGGGAGGACCAUCUCCUAAGGCUAAAUACUCUCUAGUGACCGAUAGUGAACCAGUACCGUGAGGGAAAGGUGAAAAGCACCCCGGAAGGGGAGUGAAAUAGAACCUGAAACCGUGUGCUUACAAGUAGUCAGAGCCCGUUAAUGGGUGAUGGCGUGCCUUUUGUAGAAUGAACCGGCGAGUUACGAUUUGAUGCAAGGUUAAGCAGUAAAUGUGGAGCCGUAGCGAAAGCGAGUCUGAAUAGGGCGUUUAGUAUUUGGUCGUAGACCCGAAACCAGGUGAUCUACCCUUGGUCAGGUUGAAGUUCAGGUAACACUGAAUGGAGGACCGAACCGACUUACGUUGAAAAGUGAGCGGAUGAACUGAGGGUAGCGGAGAAAUUCCAAUCGAACCUGGAGAUAGCUGGUUCUCUCCGAAAUAGCUUUAGGGCUAGCCUCAAGUGAUGAUUAUUGGAGGUAGAGCACUGUUUGGACGAGGGGCCCCUCUCGGGUUACCGAAUUCAGACAAACUCCGAAUGCCAAUUAAUUUAACUUGGGAGUCAGAACAUGGGUGAUAAGGUCCGUGUUCGAAAGGGAAACAGCCCAGACCACCAGCUAAGGUCCCAAAAUAUAUGUUAAGUGGAAAAGGAUGUGGCGUUGCCCAGACAACUAGGAUGUUGGCUUAGAAGCAGCCAUCAUUUAAAGAGUGCGUAAUAGCUCACUAGUCGAGUGACACUGCGCCGAAAAUGUACCGGGGCUAAACAUAUUACCGAAGCUGUGGAUUGUCCUUUGGACAAUGGUAGGAGAGCGUUCUAAGGGCGUUGAAGCAUGAUCGUAAGGACAUGUGGAGCGCUUAGAAGUGAGAAUGCCGGUGUGAGUAGCGAAAGACGGGUGAGAAUCCCGUCCACCGAUUGACUAAGGUUUCCAGAGGAAGGCUCGUCCGCUCUGGGUUAGUCGGGUCCUAAGCUGAGGCCGACAGGCGUAGGCGAUGGAUAACAGGUUGAUAUUCCUGUACCACCUAUAAUCGUUUUAAUCGAUGGGGGGACGCAGUAGGAUAGGCGAAGCGUGCGAUUGGAUUGCACGUCUAAGCAGUAAGGCUGAGUAUUAGGCAAAUCCGGUACUCGUUAAGGCUGAGCUGUGAUGGGGAGAAGACAUUGUGUCUUCGAGUCGUUGAUUUCACACUGCCGAGAAAAGCCUCUAGAUAGAAAAUAGGUGCCCGUACCGCAAACCGACACAGGUAGUCAAGAUGAGAAUUCUAAGGUGAGCGAGCGAACUCUCGUUAAGGAACUCGGCAAAAUGACCCCGUAACUUCGGGAGAAGGGGUGCUCUUUAGGGUUAACGCCCAGAAGAGCCGCAGUGAAUAGGCCCAAGCGACUGUUUAUCAAAAACACAGGUCUCUGCUAAACCGUAAGGUGAUGUAUAGGGGCUGACGCCUGCCCGGUGCUGGAAGGUUAAGAGGAGUGGUUAGCUUCUGCGAAGCUACGAAUCGAAGCCCCAGUAAACGGCGGCCGUAACUAUAACGGUCCUAAGGUAGCGAAAUUCCUUGUCGGGUAAGUUCCGACCCGCACGAAAGGCGUAACGAUUUGGGCACUGUCUCAACGAGAGACUCGGUGAAAUCAUAGUACCUGUGAAGAUGCAGGUUACCCGCGACAGGACGGAAAGACCCCGUGGAGCUUUACUGUAGCCUGAUAUUGAAAUUCGGCACAGCUUGUACAGGAUAGGUAGGAGCCUUUGAAACGUGAGCGCUAGCUUACGUGGAGGCGCUGGUGGGAUACUACCCUAGCUGUGUUGGCUUUCUAACCCGCACCACUUAUCGUGGUGGGAGACAGUGUCAGGCGGGCAGUUUGACUGGGGCGGUCGCCUCCUAAAAGGUAACGGAGGCGCUCAAAGGUUCCCUCAGAAUGGUUGGAAAUCAUUCAUAGAGUGUAAAGGCAUAAGGGAGCUUGACUGCGAGACCUACAAGUCGAGCAGGGUCGAAAGACGGACUUAGUGAUCCGGUGGUUCCGCAUGGAAGGGCCAUCGCUCAACGGAUAAAAGCUACCCCGGGGAUAACAGGCUUAUCUCCCCCAAGAGUUCACAUCGACGGGGAGGUUUGGCACCUCGAUGUCGGCUCAUCGCAUCCUGGGGCUGUAGUCGGUCCCAAGGGUUGGGCUGUUCGCCCAUUAAAGCGGUACGCGAGCUGGGUUCAGAACGUCGUGAGACAGUUCGGUCCCUAUCCGUCGUGGGCGUAGGAAAUUUGAGAGGAGCUGUCCUUAGUACGAGAGGACCGGGAUGGACAUACCUCUGGUGUACCAGUUGUCGUGCCAACGGCAUAGCUGGGUAGCUAUGUGUGGACGGGAUAAGUGCUGAAAGCAUCUAAGCAUGAAGCCCCCUCAAGAUGAGAUUUCCCAACUUCGGUUAUAAGAUCCCUCAAAGAUGAUGAGGUUAAUAGGUUCGAGGUGGAAGCAUGGUGACAUGUGGAGCUGACGAAUACUAAUCGAUCGAAGACUUAAUCAA